rnacentral:piRNA from 1 species
UGUCAAGUCUCCCGAGUUGCUUUUUGAC